rnacentral:lncRNA from 1 species
GGUGCCAUCUGAAUUUGAUUGUAGCCAUAAAGAUAUCCAUAAAGCUCAAAUAUCGAUGUUCCAAAGUCACAUUAACUAAUUGAUCGAUAUUUGAUAAGAAAAAACUAUCUUUCGAAUAAAUUUCAUUUAAAUUUGUAUAGUCGAUGCAGAUUUUUUAUUUUUUAUUGAUUUUUCUCACUAUCACUACAUUGGUGAGCCAAUCGGGAUAAUUAGCUUCUCUAAUGAAGUCAGUCGUGAGGAGCUUGUCGACUUCUUCGUCAAUGACCUUCUGUCUUUCAGGAGCAAAAAAUUUUUUCUUCUACCUCACAGGCCUAACUUCAGGAUCAAU